AUUUAUAUAGUUUAAAAAAAACAUUAUAUUUUCAAUAUAAAGACAGAAUUAUUUCUUAUAAAUU
rnacentral:tRNA from 1 species